UGACCUACGGGAGGCAGCAGUGAGGAAUAUUGGUCAAUGGCCGGAAGGCUGAACCAGCCAAGUCGCGUGAGGGAAGACGGUCCUAUGGAUUGUAAACCUCUUUUGUCGGGGAGCAAAGAGGCCUCGUGAGGUCAAAAGCGAGAGUACCCGAAGAAAAAGCAUCGGCUAACUCCGUGCCAGCAGCCGCGGUAAUACGGAGGAUGCGAGCGUUAUCCGGAUUUAUUGGGUUUAAAGGGUGCGUAGGCGGGACGGUAAGUCAGCGGUAAAAAUGCGGAGCUCAACUCCGUCGAGCCGUUGAAACUGCC
rnacentral:rRNA from 1 species